rnacentral:ribozyme from 1 species
AUCAACGCAGGAGAAAAAAAAAAAAUCAGUCAAAAUGGAACUUCAGCCCCCAGCUUUUGUUCUUUCGCCUGGCUUUGCCAUUAUUACUAUUACUGUUGUUGUGUUUGGCCCCUUUCAUUAUGCGGUCAGCAUUUUUGGCACUAUUUGAAGAAGAGGCGCCGCCCUUCAACAGAA